GGGCCCGCGGGUCUGGGGCGAGCUCGGGGCGCCGCGCCCCUGCGGCCGUCAGCGGGGUCUGAAGGGUAAAGCGGGGUGGGAGGCCUGCGCGCGGUCCCCCCGGAAAGUUACCGGCCGGGGGAUCCCGAGCCGGGGAAGCCGCCGGGAUGCUGCUUUCCGAGAGGGAGCCGGCGAGGAGGUUCCGCGUAGCUGUGUGUAGGGAGAAACAGAUUCUGGCAUCCUUUAGUCUGAACUCUCAACUCUUAUUGUAAGAAUAAGGACAUCUGGACUAAUAGCUUGUGAGCAGGGAUUUGAAUUUGGGUUUCCCAAACCCCAGGGAAUGCUGUAGUCACAAGACCACUUUGAUCCCCAGAGGAAAG